CUACCGGGGUAUCUAAUCCUGUUUGCUCCCCACGCUUUCGCACCUCAGUGUCAGUAUCAGUCCAGGUGGUCGCCUUCGCCACUGGUGUUCCUUCCUAUAUCUACGCAUUUCACCGCUACACAGGAAAUUCCACCACCCUCUACCGUACUCUAGCUCAGUAGUUUUGGAUGCAGUUCCCAGGUUGAGCCCGGGGAUUUCACAUCCAACUUGCUGAACCACCUACGCGCGCUUUACGCCCAGUAAUUCCGAUUAACGCUUGCACCCUUCGUAUUACCGCGGCUGCUGGCAC
rnacentral:rRNA from 1 species